rnacentral:rRNA from 1 species
UGAGGAAUAUUGGUCAAUGGGCGAAAGCCUGAACCAGCAACGCCGCGUGAGGGAUGAAGGCCUUCGGGUUGUAAACCUCUUUUCUGGGAGAAGAGACAAGGACGGUAUCCCAGGAAUAAGUCUCGGCUAACUACGUGCCAGCAGCCGCGGUAAAACGUAGGAGGCUAGCGUUAUCCGGAUUUACUGGGCGUAAAGCGCACGCAGGCGGUCACGUAAGUCGGGCGUGAAAUCUCUCGGCUCAACUGGGAGGGGCCGUUCGAUACUGCGUGACUUGAGGUUGGGAGAGGGAAGCGGAAUUCCCGGUGUAGUGGUGGAACGCGUAGAUAUCGGGAGGAACACCAGUGGCGAAAGCGGCUUCCUGGCCCACACCUGACGCUCAGGUGCGAAAGCGUGGGUAGCGAACGG